AUUGAACGCUGGCGGCAGGCCUAACACAUGCAAGUCGAGCGAGCGGCGCGCGGGUGAGUAAUAUCUGGGGAACUGCCUGAUGGAGGGGGAUAACUACUCGAAACGGUAGCUAAUACCGCAUACCCUCAGAUGUGCCCCGAUGGGAUUAGCUAGUAGGUGGGGUAACGGCUCACCUAGGCGACGAUCCCUCGCUGGUCUGAGAGGAUGACCAGCAACACUGGAACUGAGACACGGUCCAGACUCCUACGGGAGGCAGCAGUGGGGAAUAUUGCACAAUGGGCGCAAGCCUGAUGCAGCCAUGCCGCGUGUGUGAAGAAGGCCUUCGGGUUGUAAAGCACUUUCAGCGGGGAGGCGUUACCCGCAGAAGAAGCACCGGCUAACUCCGUGCCAGCAGCCGCGGUAAUAC
rnacentral:rRNA from 1 species